AAAAAACCCUAGGGUUUUUGGAAGGAGAGCGAGGAGUGUGACGAAGACACCAUCUACCUCUACGACCUCUCCGCUGCCUCUUCCCUCGGUUCCCUCAACCAACACUCUAACUCUAUCACCGUCCUCUCCUUUUACGCCCUUCUCAAUCUCCCUUUUUCCUGCAACCUCAUCUUCGCCGAUCUUACCACGCUCUUCGUCCAUCGGAAUGCCGCUAUCAAUGACCUCGCUCUGCACCCGUUCGGUGAGUGCGCCCUCAUCGUUGCUCGUGACAACUGCCUCACCAUCUUUAACCUCAUUCGCGGCAGUCGUAAGUACUGCUUGCGCCUCGACAAGGAAUUGUGCUUCUUCAAAUUCUUCAAAUUGGAAUGCUCCAAGCCCGUUUUCUACGCUGCUCCUAUAAGGAUAUGUGCUUCUUCAAAUUCUUUCUCUGUUUUCUCGAAUUAUCAUCGAAUAUCAUGGAGAUCUCCAUUGUGCUACCGAUGUUGCGUUUAGGGAAGAUUCAGAGGGCUUUUAAGAAGCGGAAGCGGAUACAUCACUCAAGAUGAGCUUCAAAAAUUCCUGUACUUCCUCUUAUUUUCCCAAUAAUUUGCAUAGGCAGAAGAACUGCUCCAGGCAAAAGACUCCAAAAUCAAUGAUUCAUUAGACGGGAAAGUUAUGAAAAGUUCUCCGUGAAAAAGGAGGACGCGAGAAAGAAGGAAAAAGCUAUUGACUUUUGCCUUACAACAUCGAACUCUUUCAUAAGGAUGAAUUUGAUAGUUUACAGUGUAUUCUAUGCAUCAGAUAAGUUAAGUUAUAGUGAUUAAAAAAUGCCUCGACCAACGACUCAAUGAAGGAUGGGAAAGCAGUGAAGAAGAGUGAAAAGAAUAGAGGUAAUCUGGAUUAUAGGUGUGAAAUAGUGUAUGUGGAAAGGACAUCAAGAAGAGAUAAAAGAGCUAGUUCCGAAGAUGAAAAGCCAAUUGAAUUUGUUGAAAGAUAUAUAAUCGAGAAAGGUCCUUAAGCCCUCUCUCUGUAGUUCACCUGGUUGCUCUGUCAGGCUUUGGGCUUUAUGAGUUGGGCUUUCCUGUGAUACUGAUAUUUGCAGCAAGAACUAUUUCUUAUUUCUUUCCUUCAUCUAUGAAUUAUAUAACUGGUAUGAUUUACACUUUCUUGAUUAUUUCUUCUGUAAUUGUAGCUUGCAAAAUGUGUGGAGAUUGGGCUCCCAGAAAUUGUAAUCUUACUAGUAUUUUCAAAGGUGAUCUAUAAUUGUCAUGAUGUUAAAUUACCUUGCAUCAUUUGGAACAUAUAUUUAAAAAUAACCCUAAGUACUUAACACACCAAAGAUGAAAUUAU